rnacentral:rRNA from 1 species
GACAGAGGGUGCAAACGUUGCUCGGAAUUACUGGGCGUAAAGCGCGUGUAGGCGGGCAGAUAAGUCGGGUGUGAAAUCCCUGGGCUCAACCUAGGAACUGCAUCCGAAACUGCCUUUCUGGAGUGAUGGAGAGGAAAGCGGAAUUCCCGGUGUAGAGGUGAAAUUCGUAGAUAUCGGGAGGAACACCAGUGGCGAAGGCGGCUUUCUGGCCAUCAACUGACGCUGAGACGCGAAAGCGUGGGGAGCAAACAGG